rnacentral:rRNA from 1 species
GACGAACGCUGGCGGCGUGCUUAACACAUGCAAGUCGAGCGGUAACAGGCGUAGCAAUACGUGCUGACGAGCGGCGGACGGGUGAGUAACGCUUAGGAAUCUACCUAGUAGUGGGGAACGAACCCGGGAAACGUCGGCGUAAUACCGCAUACGCCCUCCGGGGAAGCGGGGAGUCGCAAGACCUCGCGCUAUUGGAUGAGCCUAAGUCGGAUUAGCUAGUUGGUAGGGUAACGGCC